AAAGGGGUGGAGUAAUGGUAACUUACUAGGAUCAUAGCCUACGUGAUACAGGUUCAAAUCCUGUCCCCU
rnacentral:tRNA from 1 species